rnacentral:rRNA from 1 species
UACGAAGGGGGCUAGCGUUGUUCGGAAUCACUGGGCGUAAAGGGCACGUAGGCGGCCGAUCAAGUCGGGGGUGAAAGCCUGUGGCUCAACCACAGAAUUGCCUUCGAUACUGUUUGGCUUGAGACCGGAAGAGGUAAGUGGAACUGCGAGUGUAGAGGUGAAAUUCGUAGAUAUUCGCAAGAACACCAGUGGCGAAGGCGGCUUACUGGUCCGGUUCUGACGCUGAGGCGCGAAAGCGUGGGGAGCAAACAGG